CAGUAUAAAUCCACUGAGAUUACAGUGUAAAUCAAGAAAAGAAUUACAGUGAAAAUCAACAAGGAAUUACAGUGCAAAUUAAUAAAGAGUUUCAGUGCAUAUACAGUGUAAAUCAACAAAGAAUUACUGUGUAAAAACAUAAAAUUACAGUACUAAUUACACUAAGAUUUACAGUGUCAAAAUCAAACGGUAAACUAGCAUCAACACUUACGGGCUAUAAUGGGGAUCACAAUGCAAAUCCACUAGGAAUUACAUUGUAAAAACAAAAAAAAGUAGGAAUUACAGUACUAAUUACACUGAAACCAAUAAAAAUUACACUGAUAAACCAAUAUGAAUUACACUGAUUAACCAAUAGGGGUUACACUGUAAUUACACUGAAAACCAAAUAGGAAUUACAUUCUCACCCAACUGCAUAUCCAAUGACAAUUACAGUGCAAAUCCAAUGAAAAUUACAGUGUAAACCCAAAAUGAGAAGUACAGUGUAAAUCCACUAGCAAUUACACUGUAAAUCCAUUGAGAAUUACAAUGUAAAUCCAUUGAGAAUUACAGCCACAAUCCCAAGGCGACCCAGCAUGCCAACCAUACAUACACACUGUGACAGUAAAAAUGGCCCAGGGGAAAAUUAACACAUACUCCCUCUGUAAACUAAUUAGUGAUCUAAACGUUCUUAUAUUAGUUUACGGAGGAAGUAGAUACUAACAAUGGAGAGCAGGGACUAAACGAUGAUCUGCUAUGUUCGAAUUGCUCAAAUAGCGCAUACAAAAUCAAACAACCAGCCAAAUUCAAACAAUUAACCACAGUGCCCAUCUCAUAGAUCGAUAGAUCUCACGAAUUACAGGAGGGAUUUGGGGGUGUGAGAGAUAGAGUACAUGAGAGGAUGCAGAGGAAAGUUGGGGUAGGUACAGAGAACAGGAGGAAAAGUUCAGACUAGACUCACACAUACCUCUCACACACGGCAUGACAUGCUAACAAAUACAGAGCACACACACCCUGUCGCGUGGGUACACCAGUCAGCCUACCACACCACACUCAAGGCUACACCUCUCUGUAAACCAUCAAAUUGACUGUUGUGUGCUGCACCAUCUCCUCGGUCAUCAGCUUCAGGCGACUCUAUUUUCACACUUGGCAAAUCAAUCCCAGAAACCAUACAUCGAUUGAAGGUGUGACACACAUGCAGAUCAAUGAAACUAACAACCAACCAGAAACCCUAAUCAAAAUUUGCAUGACAGACGAGAUUCAAACACAGGAAGGGCGGAACCGCACACAUCUACACAAGAAGCUGCCGGAAAUUAACACAAGCAAACAGAUCUGACCGAGAAAACACUACGCACUAACAUACAGAGCUGAGAAUCAAAGCAACAGGGGGGAACAUACCGAAUCGAACAAAACCGACGAGCGGCGAGGGGGGGCUCCAAAUCGCCAUGGAUAUCUCUCUCAGUUGCCUUCUGGGUUACGUGUUCGAAAUGAAAAGGGGAUCGAGCGGCGCGGGGAAGAGACAGAGGAAGGAAAGAAAAAGAAAAACACCGACGCGCGGCAGCGAGCGGUACUAACGGGUUUGGAAAAUACAAGCGGGCCCGAUAAGAAACUCAGCGCCAGCAAACGACGAAAAAAAA
rnacentral:lncRNA from 1 species